UACAGAGGUCUCAAGCGUUGUUCGGAAUCAUUGGGCGUAAAGGGCGCGCAGGUGGUUCUGUAUGUCUGCCGUGAAAGCAUACAGCUCAACUGUAUUGUGUCGGUAGAAACUGCAGGACUUGAGGCUGGGAGGGGCUGGUGGAAUUCCCUGUGUAGCGGUGAAAUGCGUAGAGAUGGGGGAGAACACUCGUGGCGAAGGCGGCCAGCUAGACCAGUUCUGACACUGAGGCGCGAAAGCGUGGGGAGCAAACAGG
rnacentral:rRNA from 1 species